ACUUAAAUAGCUUAUUAAGAGCAUAAUAUUGAAGAUAUUAAGGUAUAAAUUUAUUUUAAGUA
rnacentral:tRNA from 1 species